AUUUAAGAUGUCAUCACCUGUAGGCCGGAAGAAGCAACGCGGGGCCUAGGUGACGUAGAAACUUUGGUCCUCAGCUCCUGAGCAGUCUCGAAUCCCAGGCGAUUUCAAACUCAACACUAGCACUCUGGGCAAGUUCGUCUAGGUCCCGGGGCCGCUAGAGCGCAGCGUUUGCCCCUCAAUCUGCGCGCGCCACCGGAAGCUCCACCCUCUUUACCAAGGUCCAGCCCCCUACGCCAGUGUGUCCCGCCCCUCCCCCGGCCGACCGCCAACGACGCCAGAGCCGGAAAUGACGACAUCAGCGAAGCUUUUUGGGCGGGGCCUGGGCCGGGCAGCUUUAGAGGCCGCGAUUUCACAUCGGAAACAAAACAGCGGCUGCUCGGGAAGGAGGUUUCCCUGCGAGCGGCGGGUGGCGGCGGCAAGGGAAGAGUAGACGUAAUCCGGAAGCCCACAAGUGACAGCCUUCGAGGUCCUUAGAAAGCUUGGCCUGGAGAAGAACACAUGAAAGAAAGAACCCCAAGAGGCUUUGUUUUCUGUGAAAAAGU
rnacentral:lncRNA from 1 species